GACGUGCGCAGGCGGUUAGUAUAAGAACAGAUGUGAAAUCCCCGGGCUCAACCUGGGAACUGCAUUUGUGACUGUAUAGCUGGAGUGCGGCAGAGGGGGAUGGAAUUCCGCGUGUAGCAGUGAAAUGCGUAGAUAUGCGGAGGAACACCGAUGGCGAAGGCAAUCCCCUGGGCCUGCACUGACGCUCAUGCACGAAAGCGUGGGGAGCAAACAGGAUUAGAUACCCCGGU
rnacentral:rRNA from 1 species